rnacentral:lncRNA from 1 species
GCUGAGGAUCUAACCCGGCGCCCCGCGCAUGCCAGGCGAGCAUGCUGCCGCUUGAGCCACAUCCCCAGCCCCAACAAUCCAAUUUUUUAAAUGAGCAAAAGAUUUGAUUAGUUGAGUGCAGCAAGCCCACACCUGUAAUCCCAGCAGUUUGGGAGGGUGAGGCAGGAGGAUCCCACGUUUGAGUUCAACCUGUGCAACUUAGUGGGACCCUGUCUCAAAAUAAAAUAAAAGGGCUGGGGCUGGGGCUCAGUGGUAGAGUGGGAUCCUCCUGCUUAACAAUGUUUGGACCUAAACCUAAUGGGCCAGAUACAGAAGGCAGAUCUUGGAGUCUACAGCACUGAUAAUCAUGGGGACUUCCCUUUGGAAGAAGGAGGAAAGAGUCUUAACAGAAGCAGCCAUAGAACUCAGUCACACUCAGAAUGAUCUCUUGAUCAAAAUUUGGAGGUUAGUGGGACAGACCAAUUUGUGGGGCCAAAGAAAGACAAGCAACUGCACUAAAAACUUAUGUUCAUGACUCUUCAGCCAACAACUGGUUGGAUGAGCUCCAUUAUUUUCUAUGGGACAUUUGUAGCCUAGUUUUAAAAGUUCUUUCAUAUUCUGAAUAUCAACCCCUUAUCACAUAUAUAAUUUGCAAACAUUUUCUCCUAUUUUUGAAUUACCUUUACCCUCUUGUGGAGAGUUCUGGUAGCUCUACAUCCUUGUCAACACUCAGUGUCAUUUUUUUUUCUUUUUAAGCCGUUCCAUGGGUAUGUAAUAUAUCUCAUUGUCAACUAAUGAUGUUGAGCAUUUUUUGAUGAGCUUAUUGGUCAUUUGCAUAGCUUUAUAAAAUGGUUGUUUACUUAGAGUUUGUUU